rnacentral:sRNA from 5 species
UCUGUACGGGAAGGAUGAGAAGCUUCGACUAAGGUUCGAUUCGAGCGUCAGCGAGAAAGCGUUGCCGCAGGCAACGACCCGAAGGGCGAAGCGCGCAGCGCUGAGUCAUCCUUCCCCCACCACCA